UACAGAGGGUGCGAGCGUUGUCCGGAAUCACUGGGCGUAAAGGGCGCGUAGGCGGCAAUUCAAGUCAUCUGUGAAAUCUCCGGGCUUAACCCGGAACGGUCAGGUGAUACUGUUUUGCUAGAGUGCGGAAGGGGCAAUCGGAAUUCUCGGUGUAGCGGUGAAAUGCGUAGAUAUCGAGAGGAACACCAGAGGUGAAGACGGGUUGCUGGGCCGACACUGACGCUGACAGCGCGAAAGCCAGGGGAGCAAACGGG
rnacentral:rRNA from 1 species